AACAGUGCUUGAAUUUCGUAAUCAUAAACCAAGGCUAAGAUAACCUAACUGUUUUGACAUUUCUUAAAUGUAUCAUAAAUACAAGAAAUGGCAAUGUUUAGAACGUUUGGGAGAAAUCUCCCUUAUUUUAAUCAACAGUUUAGAGCACUUUUAGGCAAUACAAGUACUUCAAUCCAACUUGUGUGUGUUGUAGUGAUUAUAGGAUAUUGUUUGUCAUUUUCCAAAGAAGCAGUAAAAGUUCUCUCAGUGACUCCAGGAUAUUUAAUGCCAUCUUCCUUUUGGCUUUGGACAGUAUUCACCUUUUGGUUUCUAGAAUUACAUUUUUGGGAAGUUCUUGUUGAUAUAGUUACAGUUGGUUUAUGUGGAAAACUUAUAGAACCAUUAUGGGGUCAAUUUGAAAUGCUACUGUUCUUUGCAAUUGUCAAUUUUGGAGUAGCUAUUUUAAGCACAAUCUUUUAUUAUAUAAACUACAUGUGUACAUUUGAUCCAGAUAUAUUAUUCACUAUACAUAUUCAUGGACUUGCUGGAUAUAUUGCAGGAGUGUCUGUAGCAGUCAAACAAAUAAUGCCCGAUUUAAUUUUAAUUAAAACCCCUUUGGGAAAGUUGAGUAACAGGAAUGUUCCACUCAGUGUAUUUUUUACAUCACUUUUGUUGUGGAUUAUGGGUUUAUUAGAAGGAACAUAUCCCACAAUGUUUUUAAGUGGAUUAAUCGUCAGUUGGGUGUAUUUACGGUUUUAUCAGAGACACAGUAAUGGUAGUAGGGGAGAUAUGGCAGACUAUUUCACAUUUGCAAGGUUUUUUUUUCCAAAUGUUGUUCAACCUCCAAUUGCAGUUAUCAGUAAUACUACUUAUGGGGCACUGGUAAAAAUUGGACUUUGUAAAAAGGUUGUACGACGUUUUGACAUGGCAAACCCUACUGGCGUCACCGUUUCUAUACCUGGAGUUGAUCAGCAUGACAUGGAACGCAGAAGACAAAUUGCACUCAAGGCUCUUAGUGAACGUCUAUCCAAAUCUCAUGAUGCUAGAGACAAGCAGCCUCUCAUUCCUAAAUCAAAUUCCAAGAUUGUACUACCACCAAAUACUUUUCAAACUAGUUCUCCAUCAACAUCGCGAACAUUUUCACCAAUUGUGGUCCCUGCACCUGUUAUUUCUACUGCUGCUAACUCAGACACAGUUCCUCCUGUUCCGUCGACCGUUGUUGCAACUUCGCCUGUUUUACCAAAAAAUCACUCAUCAACGUGACCUACAAACGUAUAAAUUUCCAAAGCGUCGUUUAAUUUAUACAAAGUAGAUGGGGCAGCUUGGACCGAACGGCCCCCUCGCACACCACCAACCUCGAACACUUAGGUCUUUGUUGGGUACACG